UACGGAGGGAGCUAGCGUUGUUCGGAAUUACUGGGCGUAAAGCGCGCGUAGGCGGCUUUGUAAGUUAGAGGUGAAAGCCCGGGGCUCAACCCCGGAACUGCCUUUAAGACUGCAUCGCUUGGAUCCAGGAGAGGUGAGUGGAAUUCCGAGUGUAGAGGUGAAAUUCGUAGAUAUCGGGAGGAACACCAGUGGCGAAGGCGGCGAUCUGGGAAGAUACUGACGCUGAGGUGCGAAAGCGUGGGGAGCAAACAGG
rnacentral:rRNA from 1 species